ensembl:lncRNA
UCAACUGGUUCUUGAUUUGUUGGCUUCGUAAAAGCAGGUGGGGAACUGGAGCUUGGCUUGGUUGAGUUGUGUGUACACAUACACGCUGCCUUUUGCUUUCUGAUGCAGCAUUAGCAGCAGCUUCUCUAUCAUCGUAUUGCUGUCUGUAAGCACCUGAUAAGGAGCAGGAAGCACUAGAAGAUAAGGAGAUGGAAGCUGCCACAGCUUUCAGCCUUGAGCGUUUGAAGGGGCAGCUGAGUCUUACAGAGAAAAUUGAAUGCUGCUUUCUUGUAAUACCCUUUUGCAGAAGGAGAGCCUUGGGAACAUGAUGCUUCUCUUGACUCAUCUGUGCAGUUCCUUGUACAAAAUGCUAAAGGUAAUAUAUUGAGCCUUAUUCUAUACCAUGCUUAGACCUGUCAUGACCCAAUUUGUAUGCUGAAAACAAUACAGCCUUAUAUAAUUUAUGCAGAGAUGUGGUUGUCUGAGUAUUUGGCUUGUUAAAGUACAUUUUUUUCAGAACCAGAGAGCACUUGGCCAAGUGGAGGACAACCGGACAGUUUCCCAAUAAAGUUCUGCUCUGCACAGCCAGGAAUAGCAGGCCAGACCCUUCUGCUGAACCACAGCAGCGGACGGAGAACCCAUGCAGCGCCGAGUCCUGAAGCCCUGUGCACGUCUCUGCCUGCCUCCUGUCUGCUCCCUGCACAAGACCCUGCGAUUAGACUCCGUGCCUGUGUUGUCGGGUUUGCUGGUUUCAGGGAAGCUUACUGUACACAAAGAGGAGCUAUUUGUUUAAAUGGGUCUGUAGGGAAAGAUGACUGCAAUAAUUGCAGGCUGUUAAAUAUGCACGCUUGAAAGUUAAUUCAUGUACUGCAUUCAAAGCCAAAUAUCCAGGACAGAUGACUGUUUUUAAAAAUAGCCUGGUUAUUACAAAACAAACAAGGGAAUAUAGAUGAAACAGCAAAAGCCCACCUGAUUCCAGUACUAUAAAAAUGUCAGUGAUAUACAGUAGGGGUCUUCAUGCCUAUUUAACUAUUGCUUUUCUUCCAGAAGGUGUCAGAAACAAGCCUGCGCGCCGUCUUAGGCUUAGGCACUAGUAGUGUGCUGGCACUAGGACAGGGGGAAGGUGGUGGUGGUCCAGAUCAGCUCCUUAUGCCUGAACUCAGCUUUUUUUUUUUGUUCUUCUGGAUGUGAAACUUUUGUGUCUGAGUGUGAUUAAACAGAAUACAGCCACGUCAAUCAUGCUCACGUCCAGGACAGUUGUUCCAGUAGUAAUUCCUCAAGGCUUCCAAUCAGAAAGCGGAGAGCUGUGUGUACAGAACAACAUAUAGCACAGCAGGAGGAAAGAACAACUAUCUUGCAAAUGUAUACAUACGUGUCUAUAUGCAGGACAUAGCUGUGAAACGCUGACCUUUUCAUUCCCCCUAGAAAGUACUGGCAGUACUAGCUUCUUCAUUUCCUUUUCUGCUGUUUGCUGUAUGAGCUGCAGCAGUGUGGCCUGGCUGCUGCUUUGUAGUUUGUGCUCCCAGAGCCAAAUAUUGGUCCCAGUGAAACCAAGGGAGUUCUGCCCUGCAAGGGAGGGGGAACCUCUGUGAGGAAGAUUACAACUUGGCCUUGAUAGUAUCCAGUAGAUGUAGCCAGCAACAUAAAUCUAAUGGCAGAGCUCUGUAUUUCCUUCUAAGCGCAGCUCUCUUGAGGGUUAGUUGGUGGGAUGUGCAUUUGUUUUGAUGUUUGCUAGAUGAUAUUAUCAUGACAGAGGGUUGUUUUAAAACCAGAUACUGCAUUUACACAGGUCUUAUGGACAUCACUUAUAAAGAUAAUAUACCCUCUGCAACCAGCUGAAAUUGGAUGCAGA